rnacentral:rRNA from 1 species
GACGAACGCUGGCGGCGUGCCUAAUACAUGCAAGUAGGACGCAGUUGCGAACGGGUGAGUAACGCGUAGGUAACUGCCUAUUAGAGGGGGAUAACUAUUGGAAACGAUAGCUAAUACCGCAUACUAGUAGAUGGACCUGCGUUGUAUUAGCUAGUAGGUAGGGUAAUGGCCUACCUAGGCAACGAUACAUAGCCGACCUUAUGGGGGGAUCGGCCACACCUGGAACUGGACACGGCCCAGACUCCUAAGGGAGGCAGCAAUAGGGAAUCUUCGGCAAUGGGGGGAACCCUGACCGGGCAACGCCGCGUGAGUGAAGGAGGUUUUCGGAUCGGAAAGCUCUGUUGUUAAGGAAGCGGUACUUAACCAGAAAGGGACGGCUAACUACGUGCCAGCCGCCGCGGUAAUAC